AGAGUUUGAUCAUGGCUCAGAACGUACGCUGGCGGCACGCCUAACACAUGCAAGUCGAACGAAGUAGCAAUACUUAGUGGCAGACGGGUGAGUAACAUGUAGGUAUCUGCCCUUUGGCCUGGAAUAACACGAGGAAACUUGUGCUAAUACCGGAUAAGUCUUUACGGAGAAAGCUUUAUGCACCAUUGGAUGAGCCUGCACUUGAUUAGUUUGUUGGUGGGGUAAUGGCCUACCAAGACUGUGAUCAAUAGCUGAUUUGAGAGGAUGAUCAGCCACAUUGGGACUGAGACACGGCCCAAACUCCUACGGGAGGCAGCAGUGGGGAAUCUUGCACAAUGGAGGAAACUCUGAUGCAGCGAUGCCGCGUGAGUGAAGAAGGCCUUUGGGUUGUAAAGCUCUUUCGUCGGGGAAGAAAAUGACUGUACCCGAAUAAGAAGGUCCGGCUAACUUCGUGCCAGCAGCCGCGGUAAUACGAAGGGACCUAGCGUAGUUCGGAAAUACUGGGCUUAAAGAGUUCGUAGGUGGUUGAAAAAGUUAGUGGUGAAAUCCCAGAGCUUAACUCUGGAACUGCCAUUAAAACUUUUCAGCUAGAGUAUGAUAGAGGAAAGCAGAAUUUCUAGUGUAGAGGUGAAAUUCGUAGAUAUUAGAAAGAAUACCAAUUGCGAAGGCAGCUUUCUGGAUCAUUACUGACGCUGAGGAACGAAGGCAUGGGUAGCGAAGAGGAUUAGAUACCCUCGUAGUCCAUGCCGUAAACGAUGUGUGUUAGACGUUGGAAAUUUAUUUUCAGUGUCGCAGCGAAAGCGUUAAACACACCGCCUGGGGAGUACGACCGCAAGGGUUAAAACUCAAAUGAAUUGACGGGGACCCGCACAAGUAGUGGAGCA
rnacentral:rRNA from 1 species